AACGAACGCUGGCGGCAUGCCUAACACAUGCAAGUCGAACGAGACCUUCGGGUCUAGUGGCGCACGCGUGCGUAACGCGUGGGAACCUGCCCUUAGGUUCGGAAUAACUCCCCGAAAGGGGUGCUAAUACCGGAUAAUGUCUUCGGACCAAAGAUUUAUCGACUUUGGAUGGGCCCGCGUUGGAUUAGCUAGUUGGUAGGGUAAAAGCCUACCAAGGCGACGAUCCAUAGCUGGUCUGAGAGGAUGAUCAGCCACACUGGGACUGAGACACGGCCCAGAAUCCUACGGGAGGCAGCAGUGGGGAAUAUUGGACAAUGGGCGAAAGCCUGAUCCCGCAAUGCCGCGUGAGUGAUGAAGGCCUUAGGGUUGUAAAGCUCUUUUACCCGGGAUGAUAAUGACAGUACCGGGAGAAUAAGCUCCGGCUAACUCCGUG
rnacentral:rRNA from 1 species